UAAGUGUAUGACAAGAAAAAAAGUUUUGCCCGUACUAUCUCUCUAUUGCUCUCUCCCGUAUUACGACGAUUGUACUCUUUGAUUCAAUCGGAAGCAAACAGAGGAGAAAUUGGGUCGUCCGAGUCUUCUAUCCGCAUGAACUUCAUCUCCACCGAUGCAGUCACGAUCGGCGAUGCUGGUUCAGCAAAUCGGCGACUCUAGUUCUCCAUCAGUUUGCGACUUUCCUUCACCAAUCGGAUAGUUUUCUUCACCAAAUCAGCGUGUCUCUUUCAUCGAGCUCUUUCUCAUGGUUGAAGAAAGAGACAGUGUGGUUCUCGAUGAAAGAGUACAAUCUUGUUUCAUUCUUCUCAUUCCCUAUUUUCGUCGAGCUCUGAUUUGUGUUCUUGUUUCAGUAAUGAAGAAGGUACGACAGGCUCUUGAACUUGCAUCUUCUGUCCCUCAAGAUGUUUUUGCCUGUCUCUGGCUUUGUAAUUUCAACUCUCGACUCGCUAACAGGUUUAUUCUUUGAUCAUUUCAUUUCUGCUUGCUUGGUUUUUUCCUGCAUCAACUAAUUCUCGUUUCAUUUAUAGACUGAUCGAUGCCCUGGUUUGUUCUUCUACAACGAGAUGUUGCAUAUUUUCUAUCGCAUUAUAAAACGAGCUUAGUUCAGUAAAUCAUAAAUUUUGUUUAGAGUGACAAGAAUUAUGACUGUUACUAAUUUAACUUUUUAACUCUUA